rnacentral:rRNA from 1 species
GCGAACGCUGGCGGCGUGGAUUAGGCAUGCAAGUCGAGCGAGAACCCGCAAGGGGGGACAGCGGCGCAAGGGACAGUAAUGUGUAGAUUAUCUGCCCUCAGGUCCGGGAUAGCUGCGGGAAACUGCAGGUAAUACCGGAUAACAUCUCCGGAUCAAAGGUGUGAUUCCGCCUGAGGAUGAGUCUACAUCCUAUUAGCUAGUUGGUAGGGUAACGGCCUACCAAGGCGAUGAUGGGUAGCGGGUGUGAGAGCACGACCCGCGUCAUUGGGACUGAGACACUGCCCAGACACCUACGGGUGGCUGCAGUCGAGAAUCUUCGGCAAUGGGCGCAAGCCUGACCGAGCGACGCCGCGUGUGGGAUGAAGGCCUUCGGGUUGUAAACCACUGUCAGAGGGGAUGAAAUGCAGGUGGGUUCUCCCAUCUGUUUGACAUAGCCUCACAAGGAAGGACGGGCUAAGUUCGUGCCAGCAGCCGCGGUAAGACGAACCGUCCGAACGUUAUUCGGAAUCACUGGGCUUAAAGGGUGCGUAGGCGGCGCGGAAAGUUGGGUGUGAAAUCCCUCGGCUCAACCGAGGAACUGCGCCCAAAACUACCGUGCUCGAGGGAGAUAGAGGUGAGCGGAACUUAGGGUGGAGCGGUGAAAUGCGUUGAUAUCCUAAGGAACACCGGUGGCGAAAGCGGCUCACUGGAUCUCUUCUGACGCUGAGGCACGAAAGCUAGGGU